rnacentral:rRNA from 1 species
AACGAACGCUGGCGGCAUGCCUAACACAUGCAAGUCGAACGAGACCUUCGGGUCUAGUGGCGCACGGGUGCGUAACGCGUGGGAAUCUGCCCUUGGGUUCGGAAUAACAGUUAGAAAUGACUGCUAAUACCGGAUAAUGUCUUCGGACCAAAGAUUUAUCGCCCAGGGAUGAGCCCGCGUAGGAUUAGCUAGUUGGUGAGGUAAAGGCUCACCAAGGCGACGAUCCUUAGCUGGUCUGAGAGGAUGAUCAGCCACACUGGGACUGAGACACGGCCCAGACUCCUACGGGAGGCAGCAGUGGGGAAUAUUGGACAAUGGGCGAAAGCCUGAUCCAGCAAUGCCGCGUGAGUGAUGAAGGCCUUAGGGUUGUAAAACUCUUUCGCGCACGACGAUAAUGACGGUAGUGCGAGAAGAAGCUCCGGCUAACUUCGUGCCAGCAGCCGCGGUAAU